UCAAUAUCUAAAGCAUUGGUUAAUGUUCUUCUAUAUAAUCUAGUCUACAUUCCCUAGCUUCCUUCUCUUUCAUUAGGAUGCUCUAGAAUGGGAUGCUUUCAGGCUUGUUUUGAUUUAUCCAAUAAAAGAAAGCGCCCAAAAGAGACUCUACAAAGUUAUAGCUGCUGACCGAGUAAACCCCACACCAAAUCUUCAAGUUUAUCAUUGUAUCAUUGGUUUUCCGUGCUUUUGUUCUUAUUUUUGUACCAUUCUAGAACAAUGCUGUUCACAUUCCAGUUAGUCUAUCAGUUUAUACAACUGUGGUUCUUUCAUCUUGCUGAAACAAGGAAACUGUGAUGCUCUACACUCCGCUCCCAUUGUAAAUCAUGCCAUCACAGACAACCUCAUUUCCCAUUUUCUGAGUUCAGAUACUACACAACUAGAGAAAAGGCUGUGAUGAGGAGCAUGAAAUAACAUGCGAGGAAUCUGAUAUUGAUGUAUAUGGUGACAAUGAUGAAUUUGAUGAUAGUGAUAGUGAUGGCAGUGAAGACAAUAAAGAGUUUGAAGCAUGCAAUCAAAGUAUAUAUUCCUUAGUGGCAGAAAAAGGAAAAAAGAAUCAAUUGCCACUUGCUUCCAAAGAUGCUGAGCUGAAAUCAAAUUUAAGUGGAAAAAACAGAGGCAUGUUUAUGCAUUCUGUAAUGAGAUCGUAGAGAACCUCACUCAGUGGAAAGCAAUCAAAGCGAAAGUUACAUCAAGUAAUAAGCAGAGCAGGAAGAAGAAUGUUCCACCAGGGCAAGGGAAAAGCAAGCCCUUGGUCUCAGAAACAAGCUUCAAUUUCUCACCUUUCAGGUCAAAAUCAAUAAUACAUCAUUCCAAGUCUCUAUUGCCGGAAAUUGCAGUUGAUGCUAGUCUUUCCAACUGGCUUGUUUCUCCAAAUCCUAAUGCUCUAUGACUACAGUUCACUUGGGCAUGA